CAAUAGCGUAUAUUAAAGUUGUUGCAGUUAAAAAGCUCGAAGUUGGAUUUCGGGGCAGCCUGGCUGGUCCGCCGCAAGGCGAGUACUGGUCAGCCGCCCUUCCUCUCGAAAGCCCCGACUGCUCUUCGUUGCAGUGGUCGGGUAGUUCGGGACGUUUACUUUGAAAAAAUUAGAGUGUUCAAGGCAGGCCUACGCCUGAAUACAUUAGCAUGGAAUAAUGGAAGAGGACCUCGGUCCUAUUUUGUUGGUUUCCAGGGCCGAAGUAAUGAUUAAGAGGGACAGUUGGGGGCAUUCGUAUUUAAUUGUCAGAGGUGAAAUUCUCGGAUUUAUGAAAGACGAACAACUGCGAAAGCAUUUGCCAAGGAUGUUUUCAUUAA
rnacentral:rRNA from 1 species